GACGAACGCUGGCGGCGUGCUUAACACAUGCAAGUCGUACGGUAAGGCCCUUUCUGGGGUGCACGAGUGGCGAACGGGUGAGUAACACGUGAGUAACCUGCCCACAACUUUGGGAUAACGCUAGGAAACUGGUGCUAAUACUGGAUAUGUGCUCCUGCUGCAUGGUGGGGGUUGGAAAGCUCCUGCGGUUGUGGAUGGACUCGCGGCCUAUCAGCUUGUUGGUGGGGUAGUGGCCUACCAAGGCGGCGACGGGUAGCCGGCCUGAGAGGGUGACCGGCCACAUUGGGACUGAGAUACGGCCCAGACUCCUACGGGAGGCAGCAGUGGGGAAUAUUGCACAAUGGGAGCAAGCCUGAUGCAGCAACGCCGCGUGCGGGAUAACGGCCUUCGGGUUGUAAACCGCUUUCAGCAGGGACGAAGCUUUUUGUGACGGUACCUGAAGAAGAGGCACGGGCUAACUACGU
rnacentral:rRNA from 1 species